rnacentral:tRNA from 1 species
GCCAACUUAGCUCAGUCGGUAGAGCAGCUGAUUCGUAAUCAGCAGGUCGAGAGUUCAAGUCCCUCAGUUGGCUCCA